UUGGAGGGCAAGUCUGGUGCCAGCAGCCGCGGUAAUUCCAGCUCCAAUAGCGUAUAUUAAAGUUGUUGCAGUUAAAAAGCUCGUAGUUGAAUUUCGGGGUCAGCAGGUUGGUCGUGCCAAUGGUAUGAACUGGCCUUGCUGAUUCCUCCCUCUUGAUGAGCCGUAAUGCCAUUAAUUUGGUGUUGCGGGGAAUCAGGACUGUUACUUUGAAAAAAUUAGAGUGUUUAAAGCAGGCAAGCGCUUGAAUACAUUAGCAUGGAAUAAUGAAAUAGGACGUUUGAUCCUAUUUUGUUGGUUUCUAGGAUUGACGUAAUGAUUAAUAGGGAUAGUUGGGGGCAUUAGUAUUCAAUUGUCAGAGGUGAAAUUCUUGGAUUUAUUGAAGACUGACUACUGCGAAAGCAUUUGCCAAGGAUGUUUUCAUUAAUCAAGAACGAAAGUUAGGGGAUCGAAGACGAUCAGAUACCGUCGUAGUCUUAACCAUAAACUAUGCCGACUAGGGAUCGGAUGAUGUUAAUUUUUUAAUGACUCAUUCGGCGCCUUACGGGAAACCAAAGUGUUUGGGUUC
rnacentral:rRNA from 1 species